GAAAUUAAAACCCUAAAACAACAAAAACUCAAAGCUGCUUCUAAUAAAAAAACACUUGUUGUAUCGGAAAGCAGUUGCAGUGGAUUGAACUUAGUGGCCGGAAACGCCGGCGGACUUGGUCGUCGUGGGGGAGAACGAUCACCGUACAGGUGAAAGCAGAGGAAAAAUGAAAACGCUAUCUGGACAUUGUGAAUCAUCUAAAGAGAUAGCACUUUCCAAAGCUACCAAAAUUCUCUUUAAAUUUGUCUCCGCUGACAAUGGUGCUUCACAAGUCAUCAAUGCUUAUCUCUUCCGUGCUUCCGCGGCUUUCAAUGAGCUUAAUCAGUUUCACAGGGAGCUUAAACCAUCACAGUCUCGUAGGAAGAAUCGCGAAAGCCACACAACAGAUGAUAGCGGGAGAGUGGUGGAAAGUUAUGCUAAGAGUGUUGAUGUGAAGCCCGAGAACGAGUUUGUAAGGGAAAGGGUUCAUGAUGAGAAUGCAAGAAAAAAGAAGAAGAACAAGAAGAAGGACAAGAAUUUAGAAGGUGAGAAUGCAAAGGAAAAAGAACAGCAUAGAGAGAUGGAGAAAAAUGCAAGUAACAAUAAGAAGGUUGAAAAUGGAAAGGGACAAGAACAGAAAGAGGUAGAGAAAAAACUAUGCAACAGUGCGAGGAGUGAAAAUGGAGGGCUAGUUGGUUUCUGGGACAUAGAAAUUAGGUCGAAAAUGGAACAUGAAGCUAAAUUACAUGUUGAAGAGGUAAAGACGGAGCAAACGAAGAAGAAGAGGAAGAAUGAAAAUGUGGAAGAUGGAUACGGGAAAAGUCUAAGAAGAAAAUGAAAAGGAAACGCGAGGGUUAAGCUUAAAUUUAGAGCGUUGUUAAUUCACCGAUACUUCUUUGUAGUUUUACAAUUGUGUAACAACGAAAUGCAAUUUUUCUAUUGAUUGCAACUAUUAGCUAUUGGGGAUACUGAAUUCAUCAUGUAGAGAGUGAAUACAGCAAUAACCAUAUAUCCUAUCCUUUCUGGGAGUUUAUAUAUAUUUUCAAGGUGACUUUUGUUUCAAGACAGGGAUUAGUCACUGCAAAAGGAUGCUCUUUCUUACCUAUAACAUGAUUAUAAAAAAAGUGACACUCUGAACAUCCUGUUGAGGAUGGAUUCACCUUUGUUUUGCCGCGCUCCUGGAGAAGAGUUUGAUUUUGCAUGAGUGAGUCCUUUGAGGAUUUCAUUUCAUUAUCGUUGGUUUUGUUUAGGCACUACUUGCCAACAUGGCUGCUAUGUAUGCUGCAUAUCAUACACAUAGACCCAAAGGCAUUAAAGCCAUUGCACAAAGGGUUCAUGGUCUUGCUGGUGUGUUUGCUCUUGACUAAAAGAAACUCGGAAUAGUGGAAGUUCAAGAUCUUGCGUUCUUUGACACUGUGAAGGCUAAGAGUUAAGACUUCAAAUGCCAAAGUUAUUGCAGAUACUGCUACCAAAAGUGAAAUCAAUUUCCGAGUUGUAAAUGGAAACACUGUAAGCGUUGCAUUUAUUACUGUAAGCUCAAAAUUCUAUUUGAAAAGUGCUAUAUGAAGUAGCAACGCCAUAGUUUGUCA